rnacentral:rRNA from 1 species
UACGAAGGGGGCUAGCGUUGCUCGGAAUCACUGGGCGUAAAGCGCACGUAGCCGGACUCUUAAGUCGGUGGUGAAAUCCUGGAGCUCAACUCCAGAACUGCCUUUGAUACUGGGAAUCUCGAGUCCGGGAGAGGUGAGUGGAACUGCGAGUGUAGAGGUGAAAUUCGUAGAUAUUCGCAAGAACACCAGUGGCGAAGGCGGCUCACUGGCCCGGUACUGACGCUGAGGUGCGAAAGCGUGGGGAGCAAACAGG